AACGCACAUUGCGCCCGCCAGUAUUCUGGCGGGCAUGCCUGUUCGAGCGUCAUUACAACCCUCAGGCCCCCGGGCCUGGCGUUGGGGAUCGGCGGAGCCCCCCGUGGGCACACGCCGUCCCCCAAAUACAGUGGCGGUCCCGCCGCAGCUUCCAUUGCGUAGUAGCUAACACCUCGCAACUGGAGAGCGGCGCGGCCAUGCCGUAAAACACCCAACUUCUGAAUGUUGACCUCGAAUCAGGUAGGAAUACCCGCUGAACUUAA
rnacentral:misc_RNA from 1 species